rnacentral:rRNA from 1 species
UACGUAGGGGGCAAGCGUUGUCCGGAUUUAUUGGGCGUAAAGCGCGUGUAGGCGGUUUGGUAGGUCCGUUGUGAAAACUCGAGGCUCAACCUCGAGACGCCGGUGGAAACCAUCAGACUAGAGUCCGGAAGAGGAGAGUGGAAUUCCUGGUGUAGCGGUGAAAUGCGCAGAUAUCAGGAGGAACACCAAUGGCGAAAGCAGCUCGCUGGGACGGUACUGACGCUGAGACGCGAAAGCGUGGGGAGCAAACAGG